UACGUAGGGCGCAAGCGUUGUCCGGAAUUAUUGGGCGUAAAGAGCUCGUAGGCGGUUUGUCGCGUCUGCUGUGAAAACUCGAGGCUCAACCUCGGGCUUGCAGUGGGUACGGGCAGACUAGAGUGCGGUAGGGGUGACUGGAAUUCCUGGUGUAGCGGUGAAAUGCGCAGAUAUCGGGAAGAACACCCGUGGCGAAGGCGGCUCUCUGGGACGGUACUGACGCUGAGACGCGAAAGCGUGGGGAGCGAACAGG
rnacentral:rRNA from 1 species